CACUCCUACGGGAGGCAGCAGUGGGGAAUAUUGGACAAUGGGCGCAAGCCUGAUCCAGCCAUGCCGCGUGAGUGAUGAAGGCCCUAGGGUUGUAAAGCUCUUUUGUGCGGGAAGAUAAUGACGGUACCGCAAGAAUAAGCCCCGGCUAACUUCGUGCCAGCAGCCGCGGUAAUACGAAGGGGGCUAGCGUUGCUCGGAAUCACUGGGCGUAAAGGGUGCGUAGGCGGGUCUUUAAGUCAGGGGUGAAAUCCUGGAGCUCAACUCCAGAACUGCCUUUGAUACUGAAGAUCUUGAGUUCGGGAGAGGUGAGUGGAACUGCGAGUGUAGAGGUGAAAUUCGUAGAUAUUCGCAAGAACACCAGUGGCGAAGGCGGCUCACUGGCCCGAUACUGACGCUGAGGCACGAAAGCGUGGGGAGCAAACAGGAUUAGAAACCCUAGUAGUCCCA
rnacentral:rRNA from 1 species